rnacentral:rRNA from 1 species
GAUGAACGCUGGCGGCGUGCCUAACACAUGCAAGUCGAACGGAGUCCAGCCUUAGAGGCCUUCGGGUCAAAGAGGGGAAGCCUGAGUGGCGGACGGGUGAGUAACACGUGGGCAACCUGGCUCAUAGAGGGGGAUAACAGAGAGAAAUUUCUGCUAAUACCGCAUAAGCACACACUGCCGCAUGGCCGAGUGUGAAAAGAGAAUCGCUAUGAGAUGGACCCGCGUCUGAUUAGCCAGUUGGCAGGGUAAGAGCCUACCAAAGCGACGAUCAGUAGCCGAUUUGAGGGGAUGAACGGCCACAUUGGGACUGAGACACGGCCCAGACUCCUACGGGAGGCAGCAGUGGGGGAUAUUGCACAAUGGGGGGAACCCUGAUGCAGCGACGCCGCGUGAGUGAAGAAGUAUUUCGGUAUGUAAAGCUCUAUCAGCAGGGAAGAUAAUGACAGUACCUGAAUAAGAAGCCCCGGCUAACUACGUG